CUCGUAGGCGGUCUGUCGCGUCGGAUGUGAAAACUCGGAGCUCAACUCCGGGCCUGCAUUCGAUACGGGCAGACUAGAGUUCGGUAGGGGAGAUUGGAAUUCCUGGUGUAGCGGUGGAAUGCGCAGAUAUCAGGAGGAACACCGAUGGCGAAGGCAGAUCUCUGGGCCGAUACUGACGCUGAGGAGCGAAAGCAUGGGGAGCAAACA
rnacentral:rRNA from 1 species